rnacentral:tRNA from 1 species
GGUUGUGGCUCAGUGGUACAGUGCUUGCCUAGCAUGCAUAAGGCACUGGGUUUGAUCCCUGGCACCA